GACGAACGCUGGCGGCGUGCCUAAUACAUGCGAGUUGAGCGCUGAAGGUUGGUACUUGUACCAACUGGGUGAGCAGCGAACGGGUGAGUAACGCGUGGGGAAUCUGCCUUUGAGCGGGGGACAACAUUUGGAAACGAAUGCUAAUACCGCAUAAAAACUUUAAACACAAGUUUUAAGUUUGAAAGAUGCAAUUGCAUCACUCAAAGAUGAUCCCGCGUUGUAUUAGCUAGUUGGUGAGGUAAAGGCUCACCAAGGCGAUGAUACAUAGCCGACCUGAGAGGGUGAUCGGCCACAUUGGGACUGAGACACGGCCCAAACUCCUACGGGAGGCAGCAGUAGGGAAUCUUCGGCAAUGGACGAAAGUCUGACCGAGCAACGCCGCGUGAGUGAAGAAGGUUUUCGGAUCGUAAAACUCUGUUGGUAGAGAAGAACGUUGGUGAGAGUGGAAAGCUCAUCAAGUGACGGUAACUACCCAGAAAGGGACGGCUAACUACGUG
rnacentral:rRNA from 1 species